GUGGGUUUAGUGUUAAUGGUAGCACGGCGGUCUCCAAAACCGUUAGAGAAAGUUCGAGUCUUUCAACCUAUGCCA
rnacentral:tRNA from 1 species